rnacentral:rRNA from 1 species
AUUGAACGCUGGCGGCAGGCUUAACACAUGCAAGUCGAGCGCGCGGCGGACGGGUGAGUAAUGUCUGGGACACUGCCUGAUGGAGGGGGAUAACUACUGGAAACGGUAGCUAAUACCGCAUACCAUCAGAUGUGCCCAGAUGGGAUGAGCUAGUAGGUGGGGAAAUGGCUCACCUAGGCGACGAUCCCUAGCUGGUCUGAGAGGAUGACCAGCCACACGGGAACUGAGACACGGCCCAGACUCCUACGGGAGGCAGCAGUGGGGAAUAUUGCACAAUGGGCGCAAGCCUGAUGCAGCCAUGCCGCGUGUGUGAAGAAGGCCUUCGGGUUGUAAAGUACUUUCAGUGAGGAGGCGUUACCCGCAGAAGAAGCACCGGCUAACUCCGUGCCAGCAGCCGCGGUAAUUC